AAACUUUCAACAACGGAUCUCUUGGUUCUGGCAACGAUGAAGAACGCAGCGAAAUGCGAUAAUUAAUGUGAAUUGCAGAAUUCAGUGAAUCAUCGAAUCUUUGAACGCACAUUGCGCCUCCUGGUAUUCCGGGAGGCACGCCUGUCCGAGCGCCAUUA
rnacentral:rRNA from 3 species